UACGAAGGGGGCUAGCGUUGUUCGGAAUUACUGGGCGUAAAGCGCACGUAGGCGGGUCGUUAAGUCAGGGGUGAAAUCCCAGAGCUCAACUCUGGAACUGCCUUUGAUACUGGCGACCUAGAGUCCGGAAGAGGAGAGUGGAAUUCCCGGUGUAGCGGUGAAAUGCGCAGAUAUCGGGAAGAACACCCGUGGCGAAGGCGGCGACCUGGAUAGAUACUGACGCUGAGGUGCGAAAGCGUGGGGAGCAAACAGG
rnacentral:rRNA from 1 species